UGCAAGUCGAACGCUGAAGUGGCACUUGUGUCAUGGAUGAGUGGCGAACGGGUGAGUAACACGUGAGUAACCUGCCCCUGACUUCGGGAUAAGCCCGGGAAACUGGGUCUAAUACCGGAUACGACUCCUGCCCGCAUGGGUGGGGGUGGAAAGUUUUGUCGGUUGGGGAUGGGCUCGCGGCCUAUCAGCUUGUUGGUGGGGUAAUGGCCUACCAAGGCGUUUACGGGUAGCCGGCCUGAGAGGGCGACCGGCCACACUGGGACUGAGACACGGCCCAGACUCCUACGGGAGGCAGCAGUAGGGAAUCUUCCACAAUGGGCGCAAGCCUGAUGGAGCAACGCCGCGUGUGUGAUGAAGGGUUUCGGCUCGUAAAACACUGUUAUAAGAGAAGAACGGCACUGAGAGUAACUGUUCAGUGUGUGACGGUAUCUUACCAGAAAGGAACGGCUAAAUAC
rnacentral:rRNA from 1 species